rnacentral:rRNA from 1 species
GCUAGCUAUAAUGGAGUCAAUCUUGAGAUACCACCCUUUACACUUUUGAUAUCUAACUAUGUUUCAUUAUCUGGAACUAGGACAUUGUAUGGUGGGUAGUUUGACUGGGGCGGUCGCCUCCUAAAAAGUAACGGAGGUGUGCGAAGGUAAGCUAGAGCUGGUCGGAAAUCAGCUUGAUAGUAUAAUGGCAUAAGCUUGCCUGACUGCGAGGCUGACAAGCCAAGCAGAGACGAAAGUCGGUCAUAGUGAUCCGGUGAUUCUGUAUGGAAGGGUCAUCGCUCAACGGAUAAAAGGUACGCCGGGGAUAACAGGCUGAUGGUGUUCGAGCGUUCAUAGCGACAACACCGUUUGGCACCUCGAUGUCGACUCAUCACAUCCUGGGGCUGAAGAAGGUCCCAAGGGUUCGGCUGUUCGCCGAUUAAAGUGAUACGUGAGUUGGGUUUAGAACGUCGUGAGACAGUUCGGUUUCUAUCUGCCGUGGGUGAAGGAAAUUUGAGAAGGUCUGACUCUAGUACGAGAGGACCGAGAUGGAUAUACCUCUGGUGUACCAGCUGUUAUGCCAAUAGCAUCGCUGGGUGGCUAUGUAUAGAUGGGAUAAUUGCUGAAAGCAUAUAAGCAAGAAACCCUCUUCAAAAAGAUUUCCCAAUUAAGGCCGUGGAAGACUACCACGUUGAUAGGCUAGGUGUGGAAGCAUGGUAACAUGUGAAGCUAACUAGUACUAAUAGCCUGAUUGAUUUAUUUGCUUUC